UACGGGGGGAGCAAGCGUUGUUCGGAUUUACUGGGCGUAAAGGGCGCGUAGGCGGCCACCGCAAGUCGACUGUGAAAUCUCCGGGCUUAACCCGGAAAGGUCAGCCGAUACUGCGGGGCUAGAGUGCAGAAGGGGCAACUGGAAUUCUCGGUGUAGCGGUGAAAUGCGUAGAUAUCGAGAGGAACACCUGCGGCGAAGGCGGCGUUCUGGACUGCUACUGACACUGAGGAACGAAAGCCAGGGGAGCAAACGGG
rnacentral:rRNA from 1 species